rnacentral:rRNA from 1 species
CAGCAGCCACGGUAAUACGAAGGGGGCUAGCGUUGUUCGGAAUUACUGGGCGUAAAGCGCACGUAGGCGGAUAUUUAAGUCAGGGGUGAAAUCCCAGAGCUCAACUCUGGAACUGCCUUUGAUACUGGGUAUCUUGAGUAUGGAAGAGGUGAGUGGAAUUCCGAGUGUAGAGGUGAAAUUCGUAGAUAUUCGGAGGAACACCAGUGGCGAAGGCGGCUCACUGGUCCAUUACUGACGCUGAGGUGCGAAAGCGUGGGGAGCAAACAGGAUUAGAUACCCGCGUAGUCCCUGUCUCUUAUAC